rnacentral:misc_RNA from 1 species
GCUAAAAUCCUUGAAGAGAAUCCCCAUGUCCCUUUGGUCAUCAAGAAUCUUGGAAAUGCUACCGCCAUUUAUAUGAAAGUUGGGAGAUGCCGAACUAGCUAGAAUUUGUAAAAGUGGCCGUAAUUCGUGGGUUGCCACAGGGACCUCGCCAAUUUCUGCAUCAAUAGAAGCAUCUAGUGCAAGCCUAUCAAGACUGGGGCUCUCAGUUGCAGAAUCAGGAACUGAAUCGAUAUUUUUGGCCAUAGAUGCAUCACCAUUUAGAUCAUUAUUAUUAGUACUACCAUCUUUCAAAUUACUGUCUGGAUUCUGU